rnacentral:rRNA from 1 species
AGUGAACGCUGGCGGUAGGCCUAACACAUGCAAGUCGAACGGCAGCACAGUAAGAGCUUGCUCUUACGGGUGGCGAGUGGCGGACGGGUGAGGAAUACAUCGGAAUCUACUUUUUCGUGGGGGAUGACGUAGGGAAACUUACGCUAAUACCGCAUACGACCUACGGGUGAAAGCAGGGGAUCUUCGGACCUUGCGCGAUUGAAUGAGCCGAUGUCGGAUUAGCUAGUUGGCGGGGUAAAGGCCCACCAAGGCGACGAUCCGUAGCUGGUCUGAGAGGAUGAUCAGCCACACUGGAACUGAGACACGGUCCAGACUCCUACGUGAGGCAGCAGUGGGGAAUAGUGGACAAUGGGCGCAAGCCUGAUCCAGCCAUACCGCGUGGGUGAAGAAGGCCUUCGGGUUGUAAAGCCCUUUUGUUGGGAAAGAAAAGCAGCAGGUUAAUACCCCGCUGUUCUGACGGUACCCAAAGAAUAAGCACCGGCUAACUUCG